rnacentral:rRNA from 1 species
CGCGAUAUGCUUAAGUAAAAGAUUAAGCCAUGCAUGCUUUGAUUCAUAAAUGAAAUUGCGUACGGCUCAUUAGAGCAGAUGUAUUCUCAUUCGGCGGUCCUUAAAUGGAUAUCUGCGGAAAUUCUGGAGCUAAUACAUGCCGAAAUUCCCCGACGCAAGGAGGGGGGCAAUAAUUAGAUUACACCAACCGUCUUCGGACGUUUUGUGUUGACUCUGAACAAUCCCGCAAACUGUCGGCCUGGUGCUGACUCAGUCCGAAAAGAAUAUCUGCCCUUUCAACUAGAUGGCAGUCUAUUGGAUUGCUAUGGUUGUUACGGGUAACGGAGAAUAAGGGUUCGACUCCGGAGAGGGAGCCUUAGAAACGGCUACCACGUCCAAGGAAGGCAGCAGGCGCGAAACUUAUCCACUGUUGGGUAUGAGAUAGUGACUAAAAAUAGAAAGAGUCAUUCUUUAUGGAUGACUCAUUUCAAUGAGUUGAUUAUAAACUAAUCUUCGAGUAACAAGGAGAGGGCAAGUCUGGUGCCAGCAGCCGCGGUAAUUCCAGCUCUCCUAGUGUAUCUCGUUAUUGCUGCGGUUAAAAAGCUCGUAGUUGGAUCUAGGCUAUUGUAUCGUGGUUCGUCUUUGACGUUAACCUCGGUCGUAGCUUCUUUUCGCUGGUUUGAUGUCGUCUUCGGGCGGCAGCUGCCAGCGGGAUUACCUUGAACAAAUCAGAGUGCUCAAUACAGGCGCUUGCUUGAAUGACUCAUCAUGGAAUAAUGAAAUAGGACUUCGGUUCAUUUUGUUGGUUCUUGAACUGAUUUAAUGAUUAAGAGGGACAAACCGGGGGCAUUCGUAUCAUUACGCGAGAGGUGAAAUUCGUAGACCGUAAUGAGACGCCCAACAGCGAAAGCAUUUGCCAAGAAUGUCUUCAUUAAUCAAGAACGAAAGUCAGAGGUUCGAAGGCGAUUAGAUACCGCCCUAGUUCUGACCGUAAACGAUGCCAUCUCGCGAUUCGGAAGGUUUAUGCCUAACCGAGGAGCAACCCGGAAACGAAAGUCUUUCGGUUCCGGGGGUAGUAUGGUUGCAAAGCUGAAACUUAAAGAAAUUGACGGAAGGGCACCACAAGGCGUGGAGCUUGCGGCUUAAUUUGACUCAACACGGGAAAACUCACCCGGUCCGGACACCGUUAGGACUGACAGAUUGAAAGCUCUUUCUCGAUUCGGUGGUUGGUGGUGCAUGGCCGUUCUUAGUUGGUGGAGUGAUUUGUCUGGUUUAUUCCGAUAACGAGCGAGACUCUAACCGACUAAAUAGUUGAAGCAUCUUCGGGUGCUGUUAACUUCUUAGAGGGAUAAGCGGUGUUUAGCCGCACGAGAUUGAGCGAUAACAGGUCUGUGAUGCCCUUAGAUGUCCGGGGCUGCACGCGUGCUACACUGGUGGAGUCAGCGGGUUUCCUAUUCCGAAAGGUAUCGGUAAACCGUUGAAAUUCCGCCAUGUCCGGGAUAGGGUAUUGUAAUUAUUGCCCUUAAACGAGGAAUGCCUAGUAAGUGUGAGUCAUCAGCUCACGUUGACUACGUCCCUGCCCUUUGUACACACCGCCCGUCGCUAUCCGGGACUGAACUGAUUCGAGAAGAGUGGGGAUUGUCGUUGUCGAGCUUCGGCUCGUCACUGAUGAAAACCAUUUUUAUCGCAUUGGUUUGAACCGGGUAAAAGUCGUAACAAGGUAGCU